GCCCGCAUGGCGGAAUUGGCAGACACGGAGGAUUUAAGUCCCUUUGCGAAAGCACUUGCCGGUUCGAGUCCGGCUGCGGGUA
rnacentral:tRNA from 1 species